rnacentral:rRNA from 1 species
AUGUUCAUUGGGAAGAUACCACCACAGCUUGGUAACCUCUCCAACUUACAAUACUUAUUUCUUGCGUCCUCACGCUGGAAUGUUGGUUAUUAUUCUUUCUAUAAUGGCACAUACUCCACAGAUAUCACCUGGUUGUCACAGUUAACUAUCCUGGAGUACCUGGAUAUGACCUUGGUGAACCUCAGUACAAUUAUUCACUGGCUUCCGGUGGUGAACAUGCUUCCUACUCUGAAAUUUCUUCGUCUUUUCGCUUGCCAACUUAGAACCUGCCCUGAUUCUCUUCAGCUCUCAAAUCUGACAUCUAUUGAAACACUCGACCUUUCGGAAAACGACUUCCAUAAGCGUAGCAGGCCCAACUGGUUCUGGGAUUUAACUAGCCUCAAGUAUCUAGAUAUCUCGGAAAAUGGUUUCUAUGGCCCGUUUCCAGACGAGAUAGGUAAUAUGACCGCCAUUGUGGAGCUUGAUUUCAUAGAGAAUAACCUUGUGGGCAUGAUACCUUCCAGUAUGAAGAACCUAUGUAAUUUGGAGAAACUGUCUUCUGCUGGCAACAAUAUGAACGGGAGUAUAACAAAAUUAUUCCAUCGAUUACCCAAUUGUUCAUGGAAUAAACUACAAGGUUUGUUUCUAGGGGAGAGUAAUCUAACUGGAAGCCUGCCAUCUGCACCGGUACAAAGAUUAAGCAACCUGAGCCAGCUGUAUCUCGCUCACAACAGCCUCACUGGUCACGUGCCACUGUGGAUAGGAGAGCUCACAAAACUAAAAAGUUUGGUCCUUAUCUCCAACAACCUGGAUGGCGUCAUCCAUGAAGGCCAUUUAUCACGUCUUGAGAAUUUAAAGGAACUUGUAUUGUCAGACAAUUCCAUAGCCAUCAGAGUGAGUCCAAAAUGGGUUCCUCCUUUUAGUCUGGAAUAUAUUCACCUUCGUUCCUGUCAGCUAGGGCCCAAGUUUCCAACGUGGCUUAGAUGGCAAACACAUGCAAGUAGUCUUGAUAUAUCAAACACAAGCAUAAGUGACAUGAUACCGGAUUGGUUUUGGAUAUCAGCUUCCUCAGUAAAGUUUCUGAAUAUCCAAAAUAAUCAGAUCACAGGAGCCCUACCAUCAACAAUGGAAUUUAUAUCCGGAAAAGAAAUGGAUUUCAGUUCUAACCAGCUUGGUGGUCCAAUACCUAAGCUUCCCAUCAAUAUAACCGGCCUAGAUCUCAGUCAAAACAAUUUAGUUGGCCCACUACCAUUAGACUUUGGAGCACCAAGACUUGAAACACUUCUUCUAUAUAACAAUAUGAUCUCCGGCGCCAUUCCAUCUUCUUUUUGCAAGUUGCGAUCAUUGCAGUUGUUAGAUCUAUCAGGAAAUAAUCUCAAUGGGUCAAUUACUAAUUGCCUAGUCAAUGAGUCCAACACAAACAUGACAGGUCUGAGUAUCACUAAUCUAAGCUUAAGAAACAACAACCUCUCAGGUGCAUUUCCUUUGCUGCUGCAGAAAUGUACACGACUCAUCUUUCUUGAUCUCAGCAAUAAUCAGUUCUCUGGGACUUUACCAGCAUGGAUUGGGGAGAAGCUAUUGUCUUUGUCAUUCUUACGGUUGAGAUCCAAUAUGUUUUAUGGUCACAUUCCAGUUGAGCUUACAAAGCUUGUUACUCUGCAAUAUUUGGACCUUGCAUACAACAAUAUAUCAGGGAGCAUACCGAGAUCUAUUAGUAAUUGCACAGGCAUGGCACAAACAAGAGGCAACUCUGAUAAUCUUCGGUAUGCCUUCAAUUAUAUAUCUGGGGUUAAUGACAAUGUACUAGUUGUCUACAGUGAGAAUUUCACAGUACUCACGAAAGGUCAAGAGAGACUAUAUACAGGAGAAAUCAUAUAUAUGGUGAAUCUUGAUUUAUCUUGUAAUAGUAUUACCGGAGAGAUCCCUGCAGAAAUUGGCGCUCUUGUAGCAUUGAAGAACCUGAACUUAUCAUGGAACAACUUCAUCAGAAAAAUCCCUGGGAAUAUUGGCGCCUUAAUUCAAGUGGAGUCACUUGACCUAUCACACAAUGAUUUGUCUGGUGAAAUCCCUUCGAACUUAUCAGCUCUCACGUCACUGAGUCGCUUGAACCUAUCCUACAACAAUCUGAGAGGAAAGAUACCAACAGGAAAUCAACUGCAAACACUCGAAGACCCAGAAUCUAUUUAUAUCGGCAACCCGGGCCUUUGUGGCCCUCCACUAUCGUGGAAUUGUCCAGAGCCUGAGCUAGUUCCAUCUACUCGAGACCGAGAGCACCAGGAAGAUGGAAGCAGUGACAUGGUUUUGCUUUUGUUUGUCAUAGGUUCUGGAUAUGUGAUGGGUCUAUGGGUGGUCUUCUGCACCUUCUUGUUCAAGAGAAGAUGGAGUGCUGCUUGGUACUUGCUCUGUGAUAGCCUGUAUGACCGGGUUUAUCUGCAAGUGGCUGUUACCUGGGCUUCCUUGAGAGGUAAAAUUAAUGGAUAG